UAAAUUUUAUUAUAAUAAAUAUCAGAAACGCAGAGAGCGUGUGGUUUUCUCCGAAGCUUUGUUGGCGGCAAAGCAAAUCUGCAUUGCGAUGGCGCCUCCGAAGCUCUUCGUCUUGGCGCUUUCAGUAACCCUAAUUCUGGCCCUCGCCGGUGCCGAAGCCGAUGUUUCCAUCGAAGGAAGAACCAAAGAGCCUGAUGCCUCCGCUUUCAAGAUCCAAUUAGAUCAACUCUAUUCUAAGAUCCAAAGUCUCGAAUCUCAAAUCAGUGAAAAGUCUGAGGAAGUGAAGAACAAGGACGAAAUUGUAGCAGAAAAAGAAAAAAUCAUUGAAGAGAGAUCGUUAACCAUAAAAUCCUUGCAGAAUGAAAUUGCUUCUCUCCAGAAAAAAGGGUCGUUGGAUGCCGAGGAGCAGGUUGGAAAGGCUCAUGCACGUGCUGGUGAACUACAGAAGCAGGUGGACAAGCUUCAAAGGGAACUAGAGACACAAAACAAGGAGAAAGUGAACUGGGAAACUCGAGUACUUCAGUCAGAGAAAAAGAUUCAUGACUUGAACUCAAAAUUAGAAGAUAUUCAAAAGAUAAAUGAGGAACAGAAGGCAAAAAUUCGUAAAACUGAACGUGCUCUUAAAGUGGCUGAGGAAGAAAUGGUGAAUGCAAAGUUUGAGGCAGCUGCCAUAGAAAAACAGCUGAGGGAGACCCAUGGUGCUUGGCUUCCACCUUGGCUUGCUGUACACUAUAUUCACAGUAAGUCCUAUCUUGAGGCUCAUUGGAACAAACAUGGGAAACCUGCCUUUGAAACCUUUACUCAAAAGGCCCUAGAGAAAAAGGCACAAGCUGGAAAGUGGGCCGAGCCUCAUGUGGAAACCAUUAAAACUAAAUGGAUCCCGACUGUAAAAGAACACUGGUCUGUUGUGAAAACAAAUGCUGAACCUCAUGUGCAAUUGGUGACCACGAAAACAGUUGAAGUUUACAAGGCAUCAAAGAAUGCUAUUGCUCCCCACUUAAGCAAGGCAAAAGAAUUUGUAGAUCCUUAUUAUCAGGGAGCUAGAAAGUUCAGCAAGCCAUACAUUGAUCAGGUUGCUAUUGCAGCUAAACCUCAUGUUGACAAGGUACAAGCGGUUUUGAAGCCCUACACAAAGGUGGUUGUUCAUGCUUAUGGGAAGUUUUUGGAAUCAGCUACUACAUAUCAUCGCCAGGUCCAAGCUACUGUCCAAGAGACUCUGAAAAAGCACGACCUUACUAGACCUCUUGCUACUAAAGAGUUGGAAUGGUUUGCGAUAUUGUCAAUUUGCACUCUUGCAGGCCUCUGCCCUUUUAGCUUUACCAAUUAUUUUUGUGGCUAGAGUGUUUUCAGCUGUUUUCUGCAGCAAAAAAGUGAAUAAACCUGCUCGACAUGGACACAGUCACCAUGCACGACGUAAAGCUAAGCGAGGGCAUCCAGACAAAGACAAGCAAACAGCAUGAAGUUCGUUCCUGAUUAUUUUUUCCUGGAAAGAAAUUUAGAUAAUUUUUUCUGUUUGCAUGGGCUUAUUGAGGACUAUAUAUUUCCUGUCGUGUGGGGUUUUGAACAUUUUGCUUCUCUUUUUCUGGGUGAGGUAACUUAGGAUAUUUCACUGUAGAGUUGGGCACACAGUAUGGUUAGGUGUUGAUGUAUUAUGACUGUGUUAUAUUUGUUAUUAGACCUUGCACUCCCUUUUUUGCCGGUUUUAUUUUCUUAUAUUCUUGACAUAGUAAAAAUGUUUCCACUUGAUGUAUGUUUAUUAGAAUCAGAAUCUGCUUAUUGCGGUUGUCUGUGGAACUUGACAUUUAUUACUAAAAGAAACUAAUUCAUGGGUGGUUCUUCAUUUUU